UACGUAGGGGGCAAGCGUUGUCCGGAUUUAUUGGGCGUAAAGAGCGUGUAGGCGGCCAGGUAGGUCGGUUGUGAAAAUUGGAGGCUCAACCUCCAGACGUCGAUCGAAACCAUCUGGCUAGAGUCCGGAAGAGGAGAAUGGAAUUCCUGGUGUAGCGGUGAAAUGCGCAGAUAUCAGGAAGAACACCGAUGGCGAAGGCAGUUCUCUGGGACGGUACUGACGCUGAGACGCGAAAGCGUGGGGAGCGAACAGG
rnacentral:rRNA from 1 species